rnacentral:rRNA from 1 species
UACGUAGGGGGCAAGCGUUAUCCGGAUUUACUGGGUGUAAAGGGAGCGCAGACGGCAGUGCAAGUCUGGAGUGAAAGCCCGGGGCCCAACCCCGGAACUGCUCUGGAAACUGUGCGGCUAGAGUACUGGAGGGGCAGGCGGAAUUCCUAGUGUGGCGGUGAAAUGCGUAGAUAUUAGGAGGAACACCAGUGGCGAAGGCGGCCUGCUGGACAGUAACUGACGUUGAGGCUCGAAAGCGUGGGGAGCAAACAGG